rnacentral:rRNA from 1 species
AUGGAGGAGGAAUCCCACUGCCCGCUCCGGUGGGAGAGCACGGGCGACCAGUGGUGGUACGCCACGCCGAUCGACUGGGCGGCCGCGAGCGGCCACUACGACGUCGUCAGGGAGCUGCUCCACCUGGACGCCAACCUCCUCAUCAAGCUCACCUCCCUCCGCCGCAUCCGCCGCCUCGAGUCCGUCUGGGACGACGACAUGCGCUUCGCCGACGCCGCCACCAACCGCGCCUCCGUCGCCCGCUGCCUGCUCCUCGACUGCGAGUCCCGCGCUCGGCCUGGGGGGAGCCGCCUCAUCCGGGCCGGCUACGGCGGCUGGCUGCUCUACACGGCGGCCGCGGCCGGGGACGCGGGCUUCGUGCGGGAGCUCCUCGGGAGGCAGCCCCUGCUGGUGUUCGGCGAGGGGGAGUACGGCGUGACCGACGUCCUCUACGCCGCCGCCAGGAGCAGGCACCCGGAGGUGUUCCGGAUGCUGCUCAACGCCGUGCUGUCAUCGGCCGGAGAAGACGGAGCUGGGGGAGGUGCUCCUUCUGCUGCCACUCGUGGGGGAUACAUGUUCAGGCGCGAGAUGAUGAACCGGGCAAUGCACGCCGCGGCGAGGGGCGGCGACCUGGAGAUCCUCAGGGAGCUCCUGCAGGGUUGCUCCGAUGCCGCUGCGUACCAGGACGCGCAGGGCGCCACCAUCUUGCACGCUGCGGCUGCAAGGGGCCAAGUUGAGGUGGUGAAGUAUCUGAUUGUGGCCUUCGAUAUCGUCAACUCUGUAGAUGACCAAGGGAAUACAGCGUUGCAUAUAGCAGCAUUCCGAGGUCACUUACCGGUGGUCGAAGCCCUGAUGACUGCAUCACCAUCACUUGUAUCAGCUAGAAAUGAAGUUGGUGACACGUUCCUCCAUAUGGCACUGACUGGCUUCAGAACUCUUGGCUUCCGAAGGCUUGAUCGUCAGAUGGAGCUCACGAAGCAUCUGGUCGCUGGAUCAAUCAUGGAUGUCAGCGAUGUCAUCAACGUGCAAAACGACGAUGGAAGGACCGUUCUUCACCUGGCAGUGGUUGGUAAUCUGCACUCCAGCCUCGUUGAGCUCCUGAUGACCGUGCCGUCGAUCGACCUGAACGUCCGUGACAACAACGGCAUGACUCCACUGGAUUUACUGAGGAAGCAGCCGCAGACAGCAUCAUCCGAGAUACUCAUCAAGGAGCUGAUUCUGGCCGGCGGUAUCUCGAACUCGAGGGAUCACGAGACGAGGUCCGCCAUUGCUUCUCAGCUGAAGAUGCACCACAUUGUGGGCAGCCCGGGGACUUCUUUCAGGAUCUCGGAUGCUGAGAUUUUCCUCCAUGCGGGUAUUGAUGCGUCAGGCGUCAGUGAAAGAACGAGAACGAGAACGACCUCAUUCUCUAGUGUUGGCAAGAGUGCCGAACUUGGAACCCUGGGACCUGGUCUUAAGAGGCUGAAUUCCAUGCAGAGCGCGGCAAGACACCUCAAGGUCCUGCUCAGAUGGCCGCUUCGCAAGGGGAAGAAAUCAGUCGGCAGCCCCAAGGAAUCGGAUGACGAUGCCUCCUCGGUGGAUUCUGUCAAGAGCUGGAGCCAUGUGGAGACCACCCCGACACCGCUGAGGCAGAGGUACUCCAAGGUGAGCUCCCUGUUCGGCAACAAGCGAACCUUGGCAAGCCCAUCAAUGAAGAUGAGGUCUGCAGCUGACCACACACUGCCUGAAUCUCCUUCGGUUUCGGCCUCCUGGUCUUCGUCGUCGUUGAUCGACAAGAUCGAAGCAGUCCAUCUGGACAAAGACGAACCAUCACCCAAUGCCACUGCGUUGAUCAGGCACACACCAAAGAAAUAUGGAUCUCUGAACAGUAGACUUAUGAACCAGUACUUUGGCACUGCAGCGCAAUUGGGGGAUUCAACAUCGGGGCAGCGGUCGAGACGAUCGCUUCUAUCAGUAGUCUGA